rnacentral:rRNA from 1 species
AACGAACGCUGGCGGCAUGCCUAACACAUGCAAGUCGAACGAGACCUUCGGGUCUAGUGGCGCACGGGUGCGUCACGCGUGGGAACCUGCCCUUAGGCUCGGAAUACCUCCCCGACGGGGGUGCUAAUACCGGAUAAUUUCUUCGGACCAAAGAUUUAUCGCCUUUGGAUGGGCCCGCGUUGGAUUAGCUAGUUGGUAGGGUAAAAGCCUACCAAGGCGACGAUCCAUAGCUGGUCUGAGAGGAUGAGCAGCCACACUGGGACUGAGACACGGCCCAGACUCCUACGGGAGGCAGCAGUGGGGAAUAUUGGACAAUGGGCGAAAGCCUGAUCCAGCAAGGCCGCGUGAGUGAUGAAGGCGUUAGGGUUGUAAAGCUCUUUUACCCGGGAUGAUAAUGACAGUACCGGGAGAAUAAGCUCCGGCUAACUCCGUG